rnacentral:rRNA from 1 species
UACAGACCAAGUUGUUAAGAGCUAUUGGCGGAUGCCUUGGCAUUGACAGGCGAUGAAGGAUGCGUUUACCUGCAGUAAUCUUCGGCGAGCUGGUAUAAAGCUAUGACCCGGAGGUAUCCGAAUGGGGCAACCCGGUAGAUUAAUCGUCUACCAUUAUAUGCUGAAUACAUAGGCAUAUAAAGCGACACCUGCUGAACUGAAACAUCUUAGUAAGCAGAGGAAAAUAAAUCAAAGAGAUUCCCUAAGUAGCGGCGAGCGAAAGGGGAGAAGACCAAACCACAUCAUUGGUGUGGGGUUGUAGGGUCGAUAACAUGAGAUCUUAAGUUUUAGUUGAAUACUUCUGGAAAGUAGAACGAUACAGGGUGAUAGUCCCGUAAGCGAAAGAACAAGAGACUCUAUUCGAUACCUGAGUAGGGCUAGACACGUGAAACCUAGUCUGAAUCUGGGGAGACCACUCUCCAAGUCUAAAUACUAGUCAAUGACCUAUAGUGAACCAGUACUGUGAAGGAAAGGUGAAAAGAACCCUUGUUAAGGGAGUGAAAUAGAACCUGAAACCAGUAGCUUAUAAGCGGUCGGAGACCUAUAGCUUCCUCGGAAGCGAUGGUUGACGGCGUGCCUUUUGCAUGAUGAGCCAGGGAGUUAAGUUAAACGGCGAGGUUAAGGGAUUUACAUUCCGGAGCCGAAGCGAAAGCGAGUUUUAAUAGAGCGUAUAGUCGUUUGAUUUAGACACGAAACCAAGUGAGCUAUUUAUGACCAGGUUGAAGCAUGGGUAAGACCUUGUGGAGGACCGAACCAGUACAUGUUGAAAAAUGUUUGGAUGAGUUGUGAAUAGGGGUGAAAGGCCAAUCAAACUUGGAGAUAUCUUGUUCUCUCCGAAAUAACUUUAGGGUUAGCCUCGGAUAUUAAGCUUUUGGGGGUAGAGCACUGAAUUCUAGCGGGGGCCUACCGGCUUACCAACGGAAAUCAAACUCCGAAUACCAAAAGCGAGUCCGGGAGAUAGACAGCGGGGGCUAAGCUUCGUUGUCGAGAGGGGAACAGCCCAGACCGCCGAUUAAGGUCCCAAAUUUUAUGCUAAGUGAGUAAGGAAGUGAUGAUUCUAAGACAGUUGGAAUGUUGGCUUAGAGGCAGCAAUCAUUUAAAGAGUGCGUAACAGCUCACCAAUCGAGAAUCAUCGCGCCAAUAAUAAUCGGGGCUCAAGCAUAAAACCGACAUCGCGGGUGUAUAUUUUAUAUAUACGCGGUAGGAGAGCGUAGUAUUCAGCAGCGAAGGUAUACCGUAAGGAGUACUGGAGCGGAUACUAGUGAAGAUCCAUGGCAUAAGUAACGAUAAAGGAAGUGAAAAUCUUCCUCGCCGUAAGCACAAGGUUUCCAGGGUCAAGCUCGUCUUCCCUGGGUUAGUCGGCCCCUAAGUCGAGGCACAAAUGCGUAGACGAUGGAGUAACAGGUUAAAUAUUCCUGUACCACCUAAAACUUUAGCAAUGGAAUGACGGAGUACGUUAAGCACGCGGACGAUUGGAAAUGUCCGUAUCACAAUGAGACUGGUUAGUAGGUAAAUCCGCUAACAUAAGGUUAGGUUGUGGUUAAGGGAAAUCUUCGGAGGAACUGAUAGUGUAGCGCAAUGCUUUCAAGAAAUAAUUUCUAGCUGUUGAUGGUGACCGUACCUAAACCGACACAGGUGUGCGAGAUGAGUAUUCUAAGGCGCGCGAGAUAACUUUCGUUAAGGAACUCGGCAAAUUAUCCCCGUAACUUCGGAAGAAGGGGAGCCUUCUAGGGUGAUUACCUUUACGGUAUGAGCUCCGGGAGGCCGCAGAGAAAUGGCCCAGGCGACUGUUUAACAAAAACACAGCACUAUGCAAACCUCUAAGGGGAAGUAUAUGGUGUGACGCCUGCCCAAUGCCAAAAGGUUAAAGGAAUAUGUCAGCCGUAAGGCAAAGCAUUGAACCCAAGCCCUGGUGAAUGGCCG